UACGAAGGGGGCUAGCGUUGUUCGGAAUCACUGGGCGUAAAGCGCACGCAGGCGGAUCGUUAAGUCAGGGGCGAAAUCCCGAGGCUCAACCUCGGAACUGCCUUUGAUACUGGCGAUCUUUGAGUCCGGGAGAGGUGAGUGGAACUCCGAGUGUAGAGGUGAAAUUCGUAGAUAUUCGGAAGAACACCAGUGGCGAAGGCGGCUCACUGGCCCGGUACUGACGCUCAUGUGCGAAAGCGUGGGGAGCAAACAGG
rnacentral:rRNA from 1 species